UACGUGGGGCACAAGCGUUAUCCGGAUUUACUGGGCGUAAAGAGAUGCGUAGGCGUCUUCUUAAGUUACUUGUUAAAUCUCCAGGCUCAACCUGGAAACCGCAAGUAAUACUGGGAGGAUUGAGUUAGGUAGAGGAAAGGGGAAUUCCUGGUGGAGCGGUAAAAUGCGUAGAUAUCAGGAGGAACACCAAUGGCGAAGGCACCUUUCUGGACCUAUACUGACGCUAAGGCUCGAAAGCGUGGGGAGCAAA
rnacentral:rRNA from 1 species